UACGAAGGGGGCUAGCGUUGUUCGGAUUUACUGGGCGUAAAGCGCGUGUAGGCGGGUCGUUAAGUUGGGGGUGAAAUCCCGAGGCUCAACCUCGGAACUGCCUUCAAAACUGGCGACCUGGAGCAAAGAAGAGGCGAGUGGAAUUGCGAGUGUAGAGGUGAAAUUCGUAGAUAUUCGGAAGAACACCAGUGGCGAAGGCGGCUCACUGGUCCGGUACUGACGCUGAGGUGCGAAAGCGUGGGGAGCAAACAGG
rnacentral:rRNA from 1 species